rnacentral:rRNA from 1 species
AGAGUUUGAUCCUGGCUCAGAACGAACGUUGGCGGCGUGGAUUAGGCAUGCAAGUCGAGCGGGAUUAGCUUUAUUCAAUUCUUCGGAAGUGAAAAUUGCUAUGAGAGCGGCGAACGGGUGAGUAAUAUAUGGGUAAUUUGCCUCUUUGUUCGGGAUAGCCAUCGGAAACGAUGAUUAAUACCGGAUGUGAUCGGUCACUGCAUAGUGACCUCUUUAAAGGUGGGGAAUCUUCGGAUCCUAUCGCAAAGAGAUAAGCCCAUACCCUAUCAGCUAGUUGGUGAGGUAAUGGCUCACCAAGGCUUACGGGUAGCUGGUCUGAGAGGAUGGUCAGCCACACUGGGACUGAGACACUGCCCAGACUCCUACGGGAGGCUGCAGUCGAGAAUCAUUGACAAUGUACGAAAGUAUGAUCAUGCGACGCCGCGUGGAGGAAGACGGCCUUCGGGUUGUAAACUCCUGUCAGCAGGGAGGAAAGGCAGCACUACUAAUAUCAGUGUUGUUUGACAGUACCUGCAGAGGAAGUCACGGCUAACUCUGUGCCAGCAGCCGCGGUAAUACAGAGGUGGCGAACGUUGUUCGGAUUUACUGGGCGUAAAGGGUCCGCAGGCGGUCCGGUGUGUCGGAUGUGAAAGCCCACGGCUUAACCGUGGAAUUGCAUUCGAAACUACCGGACUAGAGUACUGGAGGGGAGAAGGGAACACUUGGUGUAGCGGUGAAAUGCGUAGAUAUCAAGUGGAACACCGG